rnacentral:rRNA from 1 species
UUGUUGGUAAGGUAAAAGCUUACCAAGGCUUCGAUCAGUAGCUGGUCUGAGAGGACGACCAGCCACACUGGGACUGAGACACGGCCCAGACUCCUACGGGAGGCAGCAGUGGGGAAUUUUGGACAAUGGGGGCAACCCUGAUCCAGCCAUGCCGCGUGAGUGAAGAAGGCCUUCGGGUUGUAAAGCUCUUUCAGCCGGAACGAAACGGUUACGGUUAACACCCGUGACUACUGACGGUACCGGAAGAAGAAGCACCGGCUAACUACGUGCCAGCAGCCGCGGUAAUACGUAGGGUGCGAGCGUUAAUCGGAAUUACUGGGCGUAAAGCGUGCGCAGGUGGUUUUGUAAGUCAGAUGUGAAAGCCCCGGGCUCAACCUGGGAACUGCGUUUGAAACUACAAGACUAGAGUGUGGCAGAGGGGGGUGGAAUUCCGCGUGUAGCAGUGAAAUGCGUAGAGAUGUGGAGGAACACCGAUGGCGAAGGCAGCCCCCUGGGUCAACACUGACGCUCAGGCACGAAAGCAUGGGGAGCAAACAGGAUUAGAUACCCUGGUAGUCCAUGCCCUAAACGAUGUCAACUAGUUGUCGGGCCUUUACGGGCUUGGUAACGUAGCUAACGCGUGAAGUUGACCGCCUGGGGAGUACGAUCGCAAGAUUAAAACUCAAAUGAAUUGACGGGGACCCGCACAAGCGGUGGAUCAUGUGGAUUAAUUCGAUGCAACGCGAAAAACCUUACCUACCCUUGACAUGUAUCGAAGCCCGCAGAAAAGCGGGGGUGCCCGAAAGGGAACGAUAACACAGGUGCUGCAUGGCUGUCGUCAGCUCGUGUCGUGAGAUGUUGGGUUAAGUCCCGCAACGAGCGCAACCCUUGUCAUUAAUUGCCAUCAUUUAGUUGGGCACUUUAAUGAGACUGCCGG